rnacentral:rRNA from 1 species
GAUGUGAAAUCCCCGGGCUCAACCUGGGAACUGCAUUCGAAACUGGCAGGCUUGAGUCUUGUAGAGGGGGGUAGAAUUCCAGGUGUAGCGGUGAAAUGCGUAGAGAUCUGGAGGAAUACCGGUGGCGAAGGCGGCCCCCUGGACAAAGACUGACGCUCAGGUGCGAAAGCGUGGGGAGCAAACAGGAUUAGAUACCCUGGUAGUCCACGCCGUAAACGAUGUCGACUUGGAGGUUGUGCCCUUGAGGCGUGGCUUCCGGAGCUAACGCGUUAAGUCGACCGCCUGGGGAGUACGGCCGCAAGGUUAAAACUCAAAUGAAUUGACGGGGGCCCGCACAAGCGGUGGAGCAUGUGGUUUAAUUCGAUGCAACGCGAAGAACCUUACCUGGUCUUGACAUCCACGGAAUUCGGCAGAGAUGCCUUAGUGCCUUCGGGAACCGU